rnacentral:rRNA from 1 species
AGAGUUUGAUCCUGGCUCAGGAUGAACGCUGGCGGCGUGCCUAAUACAUGCAAGUCGAGCGAACGGACGAGAAGCUUGCUUCUCUGAUGUUAGCGGCGGACGGGUGAGUAACACGUGGAUAACCUACCUAUAAGACUGGGAUAACUUCGGGAAACCGGAGCUAAUACCGGAUAAUAUUUUGAACCGCAUGGUUCAAAAGUGAAAGACGGUCUUGCUGUCACUUAUAGAUGGAUCCGCGCUGCAUUAGCUAGUUGGUAAGGUAACGGCUUACCAAGGCAACGAUGCAUAGCCGACCUGAGAGGGUGAUCGGCCACACUGGAACUGAGACACGGUCCAGACUCCUACGGGAGGCAGCAGUAGGGAAUCUUCCGCAAUGGGCGAAAGCCUGACGGAGCAACGCCGCGUGAGUGAUGAAGAUCUUCGGAUCGUAAAACUCUGUUAUUAGGGAAGAACAUAUGUGUAAGUAACUGUGCACAUCUUGACGGUACCUAAUCAGAAAGCCACGGCUAACUACGUGCCAGCAGCCGCGGUAAUACGUAGGUGGCAAGCGUUAUCCGGAAUUAUUGGGCGUAAAGCGCGCGUAGGCGGUUUUUUAAGUCUGAUGUGAAAGCCCACGGCUCAACCGUGGAGGGUCAUUGGAAACUGGAAAACUUGAGUGCAGAAGAGGAAAGUGGAAUUCCAUGUGUAGCGGUGAAAUGCGCAGAGAUAUGGAGGAACACCAGUGGCGAAGGCGACUUUCUGGUCUGUAACUGACGCUGAUGUGCGAAAGCGUGGGGAUCAAACAGGAUUAGAUACCCUGGUAGUCCACGCCGUAAACGAUGAGUGCUAAGUGUUAGGGGGUUUCCGCCCCUUAGUGCUGCAGCUAACGCAUUAAGCACUCCGCCUGGGGAGUACGACCGCAAGGUUGAAACUCAAAGGAAUUGACGGGGACCCGCACAAGCGGUGGAGCAUGUGGUUUAAUUCGAAGCAACGCGAAGAACCUUACCAAAUCUUGACAUCCUUUGACAACUCUAGAGAUAGAGCCUUCCCCUUCGGGGGACAAAGUGACAGGUGGUGCAUGGUUGUCGUCAGCUCGUGUCGUGAGAUGUUGGGUUAAGUCCCGCAACGAGCGCAACCCUUAAGCUUAGUUGCCAUCAUUAAGUUGGGCACUCUAAGUUGACUGCCGGUGACAAACCGGAGGAAGGUGGGGAUGACGUCAAAUCAUCAUGCCCCUUAUGAUUUGGGCUACACACGUGCUACAAUGGACAAUACAAAGGGCAGCGAAACCGCGAGGUCAAGCAAAUCCCAUAAAGUUGUUCUCAGUUCGGAUUGUAGUCUGCAACUCGACUACAUGAAGCUGGAAUCGCUAGUAAUCGUAGAUCAGCAUGCUACGGUGAAUACGUUCCCGGGUCUUGUACACACCGCCCGUCACACCACGAGAGUUUGUAACACCCGAAGCCGGUGGAGUAACCUUUUAGGAGCUAGCCGUCGAAGGUGGGACAAAUGAUUGGGGUGAAGUCGUAACAAGGUAGCCGUAUCGGAAGGUGCGGCUGGAUCACCU